AUGAAGCCCAUAUUCAGCCUGUUGACUUCGAGUCUGCUGUAUCCCUGCCAUUCAACUGUAUGGAGAGAAGUGUUCGUUCCUUCCACUGCCUGUGAACUGUAUACUUGUCUGAAACAUCCAUUCUGUCCGUCUCAGAAGAAGCCCCAUUCAGCCUGUUGACUUCGAGUCUGCUGUAUCCCUGCCAUUCAACUGUAUGGUGAGAAGUGUUCGCUCCUUCCAAUGCAUGUGAACUGUAUACUUGCCUGAAACAUCCAUUCUGUCUGUCUCAGAAGAAGCCCCAUUCAGCCUGUUGACUUCGAGUCUGCUGUAUCCCUGCUAUUCGUCUGUAUUGUGAGAAGUGUUCGUUCCUUCCAAUGCAUGUGAACUGUAUACUUGCCUGAAACAUCCAUUCUGUCUGUCUCAGAAGAAGCCCCAUUCAGCCUGUUGACUUCGAGUCUGCUGUAUCCCUGCCAUUCAACUGUAUGGUGAGAAGUGUUCGCUCCUUCCAAUGCAUGUGAACUGUAUACUUGCCUGAAACAUCCAUUCUGUCUGUCUCAGAAGAAGCCCCAUUCAGCCUGUUGACUUCGAGUCUGCUGUAUCCCUGCUAUUCAUCUGUAUGAGGAAGCCCCAUUCAGCCUGUUGACUUCGAGUCUGCUGUAUCCCUGCUAUUCAUCCGUAUUGUGAGAAGUGUUCGUUCCUUCCAACGCAUGUGAACUGUAUACUUUGUCUGAAGCAUCCAUUCUGUCUGUUUCAGUAGAAACCCUGCACAGCCUGUUGACUUAGAGUUUGUUGCAUCCUUGUGGCCCACCUGUGCUGAGAGAGGUGACUGUCCUUUGUCGCGAACGUGAGAUGGGCACGCUUUGUCUGGAAUAUCCACUCUGACGGCGUCAGGAGAAGCCACCUUACUGUAAGACCGUGCACCUGCCGUAUACGUACUUGACUGAUAUCAUUCACCUCAAAUUCCGUACCUGUGGAAGAAGGAAAGAAGGCUGGAAUUACAUACGUACCGGAGGAGACUUACCGGACCCCUCACUUGCCAAACACAUCCCCACCUCAAGGCUGUGUAUCUGCCGUGUACGGACCUGACCGAUAUCCAUCCGUCCCAAAUUCUGCAUCUGUGAAGAAGGGAAGGGAGUUUGGAAGUAUUUAAUUACCAGAGGAGACUUACCAGACUGCGGGCUUGCCGAUUGUAUUCCCACCUGUGAAAUACCUACUUGACCACCCAUCUGUCCAUCUAUUGCGGGGCCCGCACAGAGGAAGAGGGCGGGAGAGUCCCCGGUCGCUGCAUUGUUUACCUUCAAGCCCUGAGGGUAACAAAGAAGAUUUUAGGUUAGGAUUCCCAAUUUGCUUUUACUUCAAAAUAAAACUUGUUAAAUUUAUUCUCUGUCUCCGACUCUUCCCUCUGAUACGCUCCUCGAGGUGGUCCUGGUUUAGGGGUGGGCGCAGUCCAGCUUGGCCCUCCUGACCUGUGACAUGUAUUUAGCAACAUUUUCUCGGUUAUAUGUGGGGAGUGUCUUGAGACCCUAGGGAAAUUGUAAUUCUUCUUAUUGGCUUUUUAAAAAGUAUGUUCAUUCUAUAUUUAAAUAACUUUCUUUUCAAUUAACUUUGUAAUUGUUUAUUUUGAAAGCCCUGAUUUAUUUCCUUAUUUUGGUUUUGUAUUUUACAUAGUGGUAGGGUUGUUGUUAAAUACUCAUUUUGAUUGUUUUACAUUCUGUGCUCUAAAUCAAUAAGAUGUUAGCAUAGUGUGAGUCGAGCUGUAAAAAAAUAGUUCCCAAAAUUAGUCCAGAGAAACAAAAUUAAAGAACCUGUGUGAUCACUCUAAAUAUCUCUGGAAAGAAGAGCCUUCUAUCUGAGUAGGGUCUUACACAUAAUAUAUAAUACAUAAUAAUGUUAAUGUAACAUUUUACAGACAAAUUUAUACUGUAUGCAAGCUGAUAAAAGAUUGAAAUACCUCUGGUUUAUAGAUGUUCCUCAUAGUUCUGCUUAAAAUCACAGUGAUUAUAUAACUGUAGCUCUGCAGGUUCUGCUAUCUCUCUCUCUCUCUCUCUCUCUCUCUCUCUCUCUCUCUCUCUCUCACUCACUCUCUCUCACUCCAUAUAUCCUCAUUGUUACAGCUCAUGUAUACCACAGAAUACAAAUGGAAAAAAUAAGAUGAAAUGUGUUCAUCUUGAGCAUUUCCCACCGAAUUCUGACUGUGUGUCCUUUUACAGAGUCACCUAACUAGUGUGUAUCUGAGUGUUGGCUCAGCAGAAAAAAGUGUGAUGAAUUGAGAAAAGAAGAUUUUAAUGAGCACACCUUUCCAAGGUCACCUUCUGUUUUUACAUAUACACUGAUGGACUAUAACAAACAAAUAUGAUUCCAUGGGAUCGAGUUCAUAUCUUCAUGUUACAUUCUUACAGUUCCCACAGCACAUUUAAAGUGGGGGUGCAUUUAAAAAUACACCAAUUAGAGGAAUGAUAAAUGCAGUCAAAUGUCUUUCUUGGGUAUUUAAAUGUAUUUGUGUCAUGCUAAAUGAUAGUCCAUGUAUAUGUAUAUUAAUUGUUUAGCAAUAUUUUUUUAUGUGGCAUUCCAACUUAAGUCUGAUAUAUUUCAGUGCAUUAUUAUUAUUACUUAUAUAUAUAUAUAUAUAUAUAUAUAUAUAUAUAUAUAUAUAUAUAUAUAAUAUAAUAUAAUAUAAUAUAAUAAUAAUAAUAAUAAUAAUAAUAAUAAUAAUAAUAAUAAUAA
rnacentral:lncRNA from 1 species